GACGAACGCUGGCGGCGUGCUUAACACAUGCAAGUCGAACGGAAAGGCCCUGCUUGCAGGGUACUCGAGUGGCGAACGGGUGAGUAACACGUGGGUGAUCUGCCCUGCACUUCGGGAUAAGCCUGGGAAACUGGGUCUAAUACCGGAUAGGAGCCAUUUUUAGUGUGAUGGUUGGAAAGUUUUUUCGGUGUAGGAUGAGCUCGCGGCCUAUCAGCUUGUUGGUGGGGUAAUGGCCUACCAAGGCGGCGACGGGUAGCCGGCCUGAGAGGGUGGACGGCCACAUUGGGACUGAGAUACGGCCCAGACUCCUACGGGAGGCAGCAGUGGGGAAUAUUGCACAAUGGGCGCACGCCUGAUGCAGCGACGCCGCGUGGGGGAGGACGGCCUUCGGGUUGUAAACUCCUUUCGCUAGGGACGAAGCUUUUUGUGACGGUACCUAGAUAAGAAGCACCGGCUAACUACGUG
rnacentral:rRNA from 1 species